UAAUGUCAGAUUUGAAUCUUUCAUAAUUUUUUUUAACAUCAGAUUGCUAUCUUCUCGUGAUAAACAUGCUUCCAACUUAAACAUGGAAACAACAUGUAAAGACACAAAUAGUAGAGUUGCCCAUGGUUUGAGGAGAUGCAAUUAAGUACCAUCAAGAUUAGUCCGUAGCAACAUUAUAAGCCGGUAAGAACAGGACUUUUCCAGCCAGUAAGAGGAUCAUCUAAAAGUCUAAGCUAAUUUAUUGACAAAAGUGCCAAGAACUUAUCAAGAAAAAAAAAAUGGUAUUUGGGUACUUUCUAGGAGGUCGAAGGAUUAUCUGCACCUUAUCAUAACGUUAUAAGAGCAUAAGGUAAUAAGUAACAAGAAAAACUUAUUGCGGCGGUUUGAGGCUUUCUUCAAGCUUUACUGAGAAGAUCAAGUUUGAAUGGAGGAGAGACGACAUAAGUUGAAAUUGCAACUUAAGCCUCUCCGAGGGCCACUUGGCAGCCAUGGUGGAGUGGACUAGCAUCACUGAUGGAAGCAGCAAUCACCAUGAACCACUGGAACCCAUAUGCCAUAGCUGUCAGAGGCCUAGUCAGAAUUUGCUAAAUUCAUUUCUGCAGUUGAUGGUGACACAGAUACAUUGGGCUUGUUGGAUGAUGCAAACAGUUUUUCUGCACAAACAGAAAACAAGGUAGGGCUUGCCUGUCUUUCCCUCGGAAGGAUACACAUAGCUUUGGCUCCUUAAAUUCGCAAUAAACCUUAUGUUAGCUGGGAAGACAAAAAAUUCAGUGCAAUUUACAUUUUGGCCUCCUGUUCAUAGCAAUAAGCUUGCAGAGUCGACUAACUGAUUAUUUGAGCAGCUCACUGCCCGUUCCCAUGCCAUUAUACUACAAAAGGAAUUACAGGAUCUUCCUUGGUGGCUGACAAGCUUGCUGUAGACAUUCAGCUUCAGCACCCUCUGAAUCUCAUUACUACCAUAAACUUGGCAACAUUUUAUGAAUGGCAAGAAGAAGUUAUACUCUUGAAAAGAACGUUUCAAGUAGUUCUUUAAGGCCACCUCUCCUUAAAUAGUUGAGUAAGGUGGGGUUGGAGAGAGGUAUAAAAGGGUUGCUUUACAAUUGUGAUGAACCCUGUGUCAUCCGAACAUGAAUGCAAUAGGUUAUUUUGGAUAGACGGCCUUGGGGGGAAAAC
rnacentral:lncRNA from 1 species